GCUCAGGAUGAACGCUGGCGGCGUGCCUAAUACAUGCAAGUCGAGCGAACAGAUGAGAAGCUUGCUUCUCUGAUGUUAGCGGCGGACGGGUGAGUAACACGUGGGUAACCUACCUAUAAGACUGGGAUAACUCCGGGAAACCGGGGCUAAUACCGGAUAAUAUUUUGAACCGCAUGGUUCAAUAGUGAAAGACGGUUUCGGCUGUCACUUAUAGAUGGACCCGCGCCGUAUUAGCUAGUUGGUAAGGUAACGGCUUACCAAGGCGACGAUACGUAGCCGACCUGAGAGGGUGAUCGGCCACACUGGAACUGAGACACGGUCCAGACUCCUACGGGAGGCAGCAGUAGGGAAUCUUCCGCAAUGGGCGAAAGCCUGACGGAGCAACGCCGCGUGAGUGAUGAAGGUCUUCGGAUCGUAAAACUCUGUUGUUAGGGAAGAACAAAUUUGUUAGUAACUGAACAAGUCUGACGGUAC
rnacentral:rRNA from 1 species